rnacentral:rRNA from 1 species
UGGGGAAUAUUGGGCAAUGGGCGAAAGCCUGACCCAGCAACGCCGCGUGAAGGAAGAAGGUUUUCGGAUCGUAAACUUCUAUCCCGGGUGAAGAUAAUGACGGUAGCCCGGAAGGAAGCCCCGGCUAACUACGUGCCAGCAGCCGCGGUAAUACGUAGGGGGCAAGCGUUGUCCGGAAUGAUUGGGCGUAAAGGGCGCGUAGGCGGCCUUGUAAGUCCGAUGUGAAAUUCCUGCUUUUAAGGUAGGAAUUGCAUUGGAAACUGUAGGGCUUGAGUGCAGGAGAGGUAAGCGGAAUUCCCGGUGUAGCGGUGAAAUGCGUAGAGAUCGGGAGGAACACCAGUGGCGAAGGCGGCUUACUGGACCGUAACUGACGCUGAGGCGCGAAAGUGUGGGGAGCAA